AGCGCAGGCGGGAAACUAAGCGGAUCUUAAAAGUGCGGGGCUCAACCCCGUGAUGGGGUCCGAACUGGUUUUCUUGAGUGCAGGAGAGGAAAGCGGAAUUCCCAGUAUAGCGGUGAAAUGCGUAGAUAUUGGGAAGAACACCAGUGGCGAAGGCGGCUUUCUGGACUGUAACUGACGCUGAGGCUCGAAAGCUAGGGUAGCGAAG
rnacentral:rRNA from 1 species